rnacentral:rRNA from 1 species
AAACUGAAGAGUUUGAUCCUGGCUCAGAUUGAACGCUGGCGGCAUGCCUUACACAUGCAAGUCGAACGGCAGCACGGGAGCUUGCUCCUGGUGGCGAGUGGCGAACGGGUGAGUAAUAUAUCGGAACGUACCCUAGAGUGGGGGAUAACGUAGCGAAAGUUACGCUAAUACCGCAUACGAUCUAAGGAUGAAAGUGGGGGAUCGCAAGACCUCAUGCUCCUGGAGCGGCCGAUAUCUGAUUAGCUAGUUGGUAGGGUAAAGGCCUACCAAGGCAUCGAUCAGUAGCUGGUCUGAGAGGACGACCAGCCACACUGGAACUGAGACACGGUCCAGACUCCUACGGGAGGCAGCAGUGGGGAAUUUUGGACAAUGGGCGAAAGCCUGAUCCAGCAAUGCCGCGUGAGUGAAGAAGGCCUUCGGGUUGUAAAGCUCUUUUGUCAGGGAAGAAACGGUUCUGGCUAAUACCUGGGGCUAAUGACGGUACCUGAAGAAUAAGCACCGGCUAACUACGUGCCAGCAGCCGCGGUAAUACGUAGGGUGCAAGCGUUAAUCGGAAUUACUGGGCGUAAAGCGUGCGCAGGCGGUUUUGUAAGUCUGUCGUGAAAUCCCCGGGCUCAACCUGGGAAUUGCGAUGGAGACUGCAAGGCUAGAGUUUGGCAGAGGGGGGUAGAAUUCCACGUGUAGCAGUGAAAUGCGUAGAUAUGUGGAGGAAUACCGAUGGCGAAGGCAGCCCCCUGGGAUAACACUGACGCUCAUGCACGAAAGCGUGGGGAGCAAACAGGAUUAGAUACCCUGGUAGUCCACGCCCUAAACGAUGUCAACUGGUUGU